AUUGCAUUGAGUGACCUCUGGUUCUUGUGUUACGUGAAGGGGUAAAUAACACUUCCCUAUUCACUUUCUUCACACCCGUCAUGAUUUUGUCAGAACGCUGUUGUAUCCCCUUCAGUCAUCUCUUUUCUCAGCUGAGCACUUCCAGGCUUUUUAAUCUCUCAUUGUACAGAUGCUGUGCCAUGCCCCUAAUCAUUUUUGUUGCUUUUCUUGGUACCUUUUCCAAUUCGAAUAUAUCUUGUCUGAGAUGGUGUGACUAGAGCUGGAUGCAGUAUUUGAGGUGUGGGCGUACCAUGGAUUUAUAUAGUAUAGCAUUCAGAUAUUUUCUGGUUAUCUAUCGCUUUCCUAAUGAUUCCAACAUUCUGUUCGCUUUUUUGACUGCCGCUGCCCAUUGAGUGGACGUUUUCAGAGAACUCUCCACAAUGACUCCAAGAUCUCUUUUAGACCCCAUCACUUUGUAUGUAUAGUUGGGGAUUAUGUUUUCCAGCGUGGAUUACUUUACAUUUCUUCUUCGAAUGCUUGCUCAUGUUGAUUCCGAGUAGGUGUGCGCAUGCCGCGUGCACAGUCGCUGGAAGGUUUUUCCCCUAGCGGUACCUGUCGGGUCAGCUGUGGAGCCCCCUGGAGUCAUGCCUUCGUGGCGAUGUAUAUCAGGUCCCUGCUGACCCCCCAGCUAUUCAGUUCCUUCUCAUCACCAGUGAUGGUCAUUGGAGCUGCAUGUCCCUCUUGCCUCAGCAAGCAUUUCCCAUAGGGAUCUGACUUUUGAUUAUCCUGUAAAUGGUUCAUUAGUUAGUGUUAAUCUUAGUAGUUAGAAGUGGGAGGCUUCCCCCCUCAACCCGAAUUCCCUCCCCUCUUGGGGUUCAUGCCUCAAUCCCCAGGGUUUAAGCCGUGCGGGACCUACCACAAGCCCAUGCCAACAGGUGACUCCCAUGACUCCUGCCUUAAGUGUCAUGGGGAGGCACAUCAGACCAGAUUGCUGAAAGAUCUGCAAAAGAAAGGGACUUCAGGCUCAAACAACUCCAUAUGGAGGAAGCCCUCCGUCCCCAGCCAGCCCCGGGCCAGGACUCAGCACUGAGCAUCCCCAUGCAGAGCACUCCGGCCUCCGUGAGAGAAAGGGCACCGAGGAAGGACUCUGGGCAUAGAGACCCUCGGCACUGUCGCUCCCCGGCGCUGAGGCCUGUGGAGGCAACAGCACCGCUCGCACUCACUGGUGCCGCAUAAGCAGCACAAGAUGACGGGGGCACUUGCCCACAAUGAGAGCAGCCGGGUCUAACAGUGCCAGCAGUGUGCAUCCCACACAGGGGCACCCGGUCUCACAGGAGCCGGCACCAUCUCACUCAAGUCCGGCGUCACUGGAUUCUCCUGCUCGAGAGUGCCAGGUGGAGGAGCUGGAGCUCCCGUCUACCCUGGACACACUCAGGGUGACCAGGGACUUGAUUGCCAGCCUGGAUAGACUUCCGGCAUCCGUCCAGAGGCAAGCCCGCGAUGAUGAGGCACUGCUCGCCUUCUCCGUGGCACCGUCCCGCUCGGCGGCACCACAGUCUCCGUGCUUGGAGUCCCGGUCAUCGGAGGCGGAGUCCUGCUGUUCCAGGCGCAGUCGGCACUGAUCAGAGCAGCGCUGACACAGGCAGGAGGCAGGGAUGGUGCCAUGAUGGGCGCGGUUGCAUGGGCCCGUGCAGUGGCCGUUCUGUACCCUGCGGGCAUACCGGCAAGCCCAGGGCACUUACUUCAGGGACUCCCAGUCCGUAAUUUCAGAAGGAUGCACCCCUUUACCACCUUGAGUCAGUCCCCCACCUCGAAGCACCGAGACGGCUUCAGUCUACAGCACAGAGCCCCAUCUGGGUCCCGGCUCCCCCACUGGCACUGAGGCCACUACCGGCACCAACCAGCAGGGCCCAGAGUAGGACGCGUCCAGGGAGCCAGAGGGACAGGAGGGCUUCCGCCUCGGGCUUCGUCAUUGUCCUUGCCGGAUGAGGCAGUGGCGGGAUCGUCGUCCUUUGGGCCGCCCCCCAUUGACAAUACAGUGCCCCAGGAGCUGUUGAGCAGGGUGGCCCAUAACAUGGGGCUACCAGCUGAGGAGAUAGUCGAGUCUGAGGACCCCAUGGUGGACAUAUUAACCCCUGAAGAGCCAUCCAGGGUGGCAUUGCCUCUCAUUAAAACAAUUCAAGCCACUACAAAAACCUUGUGGCAAACUCCUGCCUCCAUUCCCCCUACAGCUAAGGGGGUGGAGAGGAAGUAUUUAAUCGCCUCUGAGGGGUACGAAUACUUAUUUACUUAUCCACAGCUGGGUUCGCUGGUCAUAUCAGUGGCCAAUGAGAGAGAGAGAGACAGGCAACAGGGCUCAACUCCAAAAUCCAAAGACUCAAAGAAACUGGACCUCUUCAGUAGGAAAGUGUACUCCACGGCGGGGCUCCAGCUUCGGAUGCUAACCAGCAAGCAAUCCUCAGUAGAUACAGGUUUCAGAGUAGCAGCCAUGUUAGUCUGUAUUCGCAAAAAGAAAAGGAGGACAUGUGGCACCUUAGAGACUAACAAAUUUAUUUGAGCAUAAGCUUUCGUGAGCUACAGCUGAAUGCAUCUGAUGAAGUGAGCUGUAGCUCAUGAAAGCUUAUGCUCAAAUAAAUUUGUUAGUCUCUAAGGUGCCACAAGUACUCCUUUUCAGUAGAUACAAUUUCAAUUCAUGGGUCUCCGGAAUAGACACACCAGUCUAUUCAACAGAUCCUUCUCCCUGUUUUCUGAACUGUCUGUCCCACUUCUACGGUGCUUGGUCCCAGAUAAUCUCAUACUGUUGGGGUCCUGCUCACAGUGGAUGUGGGAUAUCUCUCCAAUUCGCUCCUCCCCUCCCUGCUAGCCUCCUUCCCUGUCCCUCUUCAGGGACCCUUCUCAUGAGCAUCUCCUCAUGCAGGAGGUUCAAAGGUUCUGCGCCGCAGGAGCAGUGGAGGAGGUUCCUCAGGAACUAUGGGGCAAGGGAUUCUACUCCCGAUAUUUCCUAAUCCCCAAAGCCAAAGGGGGUCUCAGACCCAUCCUUGACUUACGAGGCCUCAGCAGGUUCAUGAAGAAGUUGACGGCGUUCCACAUGAUCUCUCUAAAUGCAAUUAUCCCAUCUCUGGAUCGGGGAGAUUGGUACGGGAGACGAGGGCAGCGUGCCCUCGCCCUCAAGGACAUGGACUUCCACAUAUCGAUAAUUCCAGCCCACAGACACUUUCUCAGGUUCGUAGUGAACCACAACCUUUACCAGUUUAUGGUCCUCCCCUUUGGUCUGUCUGUGGCCCUUGAGUUUAUACCAAGUGCAUGGCAGUCAUAGCCACCUUCCCGAGAAGAAGGCAGGUGCAGGUCUUCCCGUACCUCGAUGACUGGCUGGUCAGGGGGCGCGCCAGGUCACAAGUGGAGCAGCACGUCAACUUGAUGAGAUCCACCUUCGACAGGCUAGGUCUCCUUCUGAAUGUACACAAAUCAACUCUAUCCCCCACUCAGAGAAUAGAGUUCAUUUGGGGAGUGUUGGACUCUGGCAGGAAGAUUCUGGCCUGACCACGGUCUCGUUUUUGGACAAUGCAAGUCAUCAUACAAGGCUUCGGACAAUACCCCACCGCCACAGCAAAGAAUUGCUUGAAGGUCCUCAGACGAAUGGCAGCUUGUACAUAUGCGGUACAACAUGCAAUGCUGAGGCUCAGACCUCUCCAGGCCUGGCUGGCUUCAAUUUACCAGCCAGGGCACGACAACCUGGACAAGGUGGUUACACUCCCACCACCAGUUCUCAGAUCUCUCCAGUGGUGGCUCAACACGCAGGCGGUGUGCGCAGGGGUCCCCUUCGCCAAACUGCAGUCCUCACUGUCCCUGGUCACAGACGCGUCAGCGAUGGGGUGGGGAGCUCAUCUGGGAGAAUUCAAAACCCAGGGCCUCUGGUCCCAAGACCGCAGCUGAAUUAUCCGUCCCCUUAGAUACAGCUCUAAGCAGCUUGUGCUGCUUGUGGAAACUGCCCUUGCCCUAAAACACUGCUUUCCUCCUUCACUUGCUGCACGCUGUCCUGCAGCCUCCGCCGGCUGGGUUAUAAUCUCUUCCAUUUAUACAGCACCUGGAACUAUGCUAUUAGGAAUUGCUUUGUUUCUCCCACUCAAAUGCAGUCACUCCUGGUGCGGAAGGUGAUGGGCGUUUAACUACAAAGGGCAACAGGUUAAGCCAGGAGCAGUUCAGGAGGGAAAGUCACGAGCCAGGAGGGAAUUAGCCCUGGCACUGAGUUAAUGCCCCUGCUCUUGCAAAGAGUGCUGUGAAACUUUGAAGGGCCAGUUCCUGGAACCAUUUCUUACAUCUCCUGGAGCACCAGUUUCCCCAGCGCCAUGCUGGUGCAUUGGCCCAGUGUUGAGUCAGGGGGAAGAGUAUCACAUACUAAAUAAUCCUAGCGGGUGUCUCAGCCAGGCAGCCAUCAGCCACCAGUGAUUACUUAAGAGAAACGGAUGCAGGUGAGACCAUCAGUCCAGCCCCUCCCCCCAUGGACGGGUGACGACCUUAUUUAAAAAACAAAAUGUGCCUCUGGUGAUGUACCUGGGCCCCCGUUUCCAGUGUCUGAGCUGCUCCCACUCUUUAAUGCACUUAUUGUCACAGCCCCCAUGGGGCAGGGCCGUUGUGCCCAUUGUACAGAGGAGGAACUGAAGCCCUGAGGCCCAGCCCCUCCAAGGUAUUUAGAUGCCUAGCUCCCCUUGAACUCAGUGGGUGUUCAGUGUCAAAUGCCUUUCAGGAGCUGAGCCCGAGUGAGUGACUGCCUAAUGAUCAGUCUAGGGCAGAGCAGGGAAUUGAACCCGCAUCCCAGACUCACUCCCUAACCACCAGGCCAUCCUCUCUCUUCUGUGCCUGGGAGUUGGCCCUUGGCACCUGUAAGAAAAGGAGCCUUAUUCCCCUCAGGGAGCUGGUUAAGUAGCUUCCCCCUCAGCUGUGAGUCCGGCUGUUCCAGCCCUGUGCUUGGAGGCUGGACUGCGUAGGGGGAGGGUGUGUCUCGCCGUUGGGGCGUUGACCCAAGCAAAAUCCUCAGGGCCCCCAAGGUGUUUAGCCAAGCCGCUGCUUUGUGACGCUGUUGGCUGGAGAUGGCCUUUUGGGAGCCCAUCCAGCUCAACAAGGUGCCCUUUGCCUUCUCUGGCACCGGCUCCAGCUCCCAGUGUUUGCAUUGUAGGACCUGACCUGGGUGCAUUUCAAGUCGCUAUAGCGACUGAAUGGACAGACGGUCUGGGCAGAUUUAAGAGAGGGGAAUUCACUCAACUUGCCCUCCUCAGUCUUCAGCCCAUGGUUUGGAGGGGGGAAUCCCGCAGUUGGAGCUCAAGCUGCCUACUCAGCUACCCCACUAAGGACAGCAAGAGCUACCUCACUCACGGUCAGCCCCAGCCCUGGAGGAGAGUUUGUUCCUUGGUUGCACCUGCCCAGGGCCAGAUUAACUAUUCAGCUAAUAAGGUUCUCGCCUUAGGCCCUCCUGGUCAGGCAGGGGGCAUGGCUGGGGCGGGGGAGAGGGAGCGAGUUUGCUCACGCAGCCCUGCCAGGGUGCUCCUGCGGCUUGGCAGGAGCUCAGCCGGCACCGCGCUGCGGGAACACGCUGCCAGGGAUCCGGUUCACACGGGUGACCAGGCACUAAAAAUCCAGUUACCACGGGAAUCCGUGCCAGCCGUGGGUGUCGUUUGAGCAGGCAUUGCACCCCCCACCCGCCCUGAUUUCUCCAGAGCUCUGCUUAGCCGUCAGGGAGGGAAGAGCCUCCCUCUGUCCCUCUCCUCUGCUGAGGCUGGCAGGCAGCUCCAGGAUGCUGCCCCCGGGGUCCUAAUGCCCACCAUCAUCAUCUAUGUGUGCUGGGUCCCGUUUGUGGACACUGGUGAGUGACACAGGGCAAGGGGGGGCAGGGGGAGGGGGCAGUACCAAAGCGGUAGGAUGGGAAGCUUGCACAAAACCUGCACACACUCUAUCCAGCUUCAGCCAGAAUGAUUGCCCCUCCCAUGUAUAAGGACCAAAUUCCCACAGAUCUGUAGGAAAAACAAAACAAACCAUCCCAUUCUGGAUCCCAGUCCUUUAACUUUAACUUUUACAGAACCUUUCAUCGAGGGGCUUCAGAUGCAUGAUGCGCUGUGUUCAAUACUGCAUUGAACUGUACUAAAAAUCAAAGAAAUGCCAUUUUUUUUCUUUGAUGUAUUUUUCUGUACUGGGAUGCACAGGCAACCAAGUUCUUUCCUUAUGCUCAGCCUAGCUCCCCAGGCCAACGCAUCUUUGUACUUUUAAGGGGUUGCAAAAGCACUGGAGGAAGCUCAACACACAAUGUUGUAGAAAGAAAAGGAGGACUUGUGGCACCUUAGAGACUAACCAAUUUAUUUGAGCAUAAGCUUUUGUGAGCUACAGCUCACUUCAUCGGAUGCAAUGUUGUAGGUUUCUCCUUCCCCUCUGCCGCAAGGAUUUUAAAUCCACUUCUUAGCAGGCUAUGAUAGAAAGACUGGCUGAUUAGGCCAAAGGCAGGUUCUGUCCAUUUGCUGGUUCUCUAGCUGUUCAAUCCAUCAUAAAAGUACCUCACAUUUGAUUUCUUUUGAGUUUCAUUCCAAAAACUUAAAACUAAAUAACCCUGAAGUUAGUCCUCAUUUUUCUGCCCCAAUUCCAACUAACUUCUUUCCCAAGUGGAAAACAUUGGGUAAGUGUGGGGUGUGAUUCGAGAUGGGAAGGUGAACACAGGCCAAUUCCUGCUGACAGUUACACCUGUGCAGCCUUAUUGACUUCAGGGAGAACAGAUUUUUGCACAAGAAUAGAUUUUGGUCCCUUCUGCUUUUUCACACCUGCUAUAAGCAAAAUCUCAUUCACUUUCCUCCCCUAACCUCUGAGCACUUCAAGGGGGAAAAAUAAGCAAGGUCUGCUUGAUUUACACAUGCAAACGAAACAGGAAGCUCUCCCUUCAUUCUACACCAGCCUUAAACACCAGACCUGCUGUAACAAGGGGGUCACUGCAGCAGCCUUGGCUGGACUGUUCUUUGGGAAGAUCCUUAAUUGUUCUUUUAAGAUGCUGAUUUUCAGUGAAGUCUUCUUGUUCUUGGGGGCAGAGAACACAACAGGGAAUAGCUCUGUUUUAUCACCUCCUAGUCAUUCAAAAGCUGAAAGGCUUUGGAUUGUUUGUUUUAAUGUUUGUACAGUGAUUUUGAAGAGCUAACAUAGUACAGAAGUGCUAAAUAUUAUGACUGGGCAACCAUCUAAAGAUCUGUGUCACUUCUAGCUGUUACCUUUUUCUUACAGAAAGCUUAAAACAAACAAAUGCAAACCAUAGGGAGCUGGUGCACACAGAACUCAUGCUUAAAAAACGUCAUGUCAGAGCUGCUGAUCACACAUUGUAGAAUACUUAAUCCUGCCAUGAGUGCAGGGGACCAGACCAGAUGACCUCUUGAGGUCCCUUCCAGUCCUGUGAGUCUAUUCUAUGAUUCUAAUUGUGGAAGAGCUUGGUGACAGAAUGGCCUGAUGUGGUGAAUCGCUGGAGAUUAACUACACAAACUGGGUAUGGUCCCACAAAUAAUAUUUGGGUUCAAUGUGAAAAUUCAUUGUUCUCAGCUAGUGCAACACCGGGAGGCAGCUUUCAGAGCAAGAUCGCCUAAAAUACAAUGCCACCCACUGUAACUUUCCCUGGUCUACGCCAGGAGGUAGGGGUGAGCUAAGUCCGUCUAAUUACACAACGUGAGCUACGAAAAUAGCGUAGCUGAAGUUGAGGUACUUAGAGCUACUCACCACGGUGUCUUCACUGUGGUAAGUCGACAGCUGCUGCUCCCCCAUCAACUCCACCUGCGCUUCUUGCUCCGGUGGAGCACCGGAGUCGACGGGAGAGCGCUCGGUGGUUAAUUUAUCGCGGCUAGAAGACUAUCGCGCUGGGUGCAUGGCUCGGGGGGUAAGUGUAGACAUGCCCUCUACUUCAGUGGAUUUUACACCUGAGUGGUUUCCUUUUACAUAAUAAAAGCUGGAUGCGUCCCAGAGUGCAGUCAGAGUGAGACAGGGUAUGUGGUGUAGAGGCCAUAGCUUGGGGGGAAACACCUGCAGGGCUUGGCCUUGCACUGUGCCAGGUGGAGAGCUGAGGGUAGAAGCACACGGCUGAAAGAGGUAGCAGCUUGCAGUGUUCAUCCUCAUACAGAUUGCAGUAUUCAAUCUCCACGAGCUAGGAGGAAGGAGGCUCAGGAGAAGGCCAGCGCCAGCAUCCCUCGUGCCGCCUCUUACUCAGAAGUAUCUGUGUGGAGACAUGAGUGCCGUGAGAGUAGAAUAAACUUGUUAAUUUUCCAUAAAUAAAUAAAUAUGUAAAUGUGUAUG